rnacentral:rRNA from 1 species
GACGAACGCUGGCGGCGUGCUUAACACAUGCAAGUCGAACGGUGAAAGGGAGCUUGCUCCCUGGAUCAGUGGCGAACGGGUGAGUAACACGUGGGCAACCUGCCCCAGACUUCGGGAUAACGCUUCGAAAGAGGUGCUAAUACCGGAUACGAACUCCUUGGGCAUCCUUGGAGUUGGAAAGUUUUUCGGUCUGGGAUGGGCCCGCGGCCUCUCAGCUUGUUGGUGAGGUAACGGCUCACCAAGGCGACGACGGGUAGCCGGCCUGAGAGGGCGACCGGCCACACUGGGACUGGGACACGGCCCAGACGCCUACGGGAGGCAGCAGUGGGGAAUAUUGCGCAAUGGGCGAAAGCCUGACGCAGCAACGCCGCGUGAGGGAUGACGGCCUUCGGGUUGUAAACCUCUUUCAGCAGGGAAGAAGCGAAAGUGACGGUACCUGCAGAAGAAGCACCGGCUAACUACGUGCCAGCCGCCGCCGUAA